AGAGUUUGAUCCUGGCUCAGGAUGAACGCUGGCGGCGUGCCUAAUACAUGCAAGUCGAGCGAACGGACGAGAAGCUUGCUUUUCUGAUGUUAGCGGCGGACGGGUGAGUAACACGUGGAUAACCUACCUAUAAGACUGGGAUAACUUCGGGAAACCGGAGCUAAUACCGGAUAAUAUUUUGAACCGCAUGGUUCAAAAGUGAAAGACGGUCUUGCUGUCACUUAUAGAUGGAUCCGCGCUGCAUUAGCUAGUUGGUAAGGUAACGGCUUACCAAGGCAACGAUGCAUAGCCGACCUGAGAGGGUGAUCGGCCACACUGGAACUGAGACACGGUCCAGACUCCUACGGGAGGCAGCAGUAGGGAAUCUUCCGCAAUGGGCGAAAGCCUGACGGAGCAACGCCGCGUGAGUGAUGAAGGUCUUCGGAUCGUAAAACUCUGUUAUUAGGGAAGAACAUAUGUGUAAGUAACUGUGCACAUCUUGACGGUACCUAAUCAGAAAGCCACGGCUAACUACGUGCCAGCAGCCGCGGUAAUACGUAGGUGGCAAGCGUUAUCCGGAAUUAUUGGGCGUAAAGCGCGCGUAGGCGGUUUUUUAAGUCUGAUGUGAAAGCCCACGGCUCAACCGUGGAGGGUCAUUGGAAACUGGAAAACUUGAGUGCAGAAGAGGAAAGUGGAAUUCCAUGUGUAGCGGUGAAAUGCGCAGAGAUAUGGAGGAACACCAGUGGCGAAGGCGACUUUCUGGUCUGUAACUGACGCUGAUGUGCGAAAGCGUGGGGAUCAAACAGGAUUAGAUACCCUGGUAGUCCACGCCGUAAACGAUGAGUGCUAAGUGUUAGGGGGUUUC
rnacentral:rRNA from 1 species